rnacentral:rRNA from 1 species
AACGAACGCUGGCGGCAGGCUUAACACAUGCAAGUCGAGCGCCCCGCAAGGGGAGCGGCAGACGGGUGAGUAACGCAUGGGAAUCUACCCAUCUCUACGGAAUAACGCAUGGAAACGUGUGCUAAUACCGUAUACGUCCUUCGGGAGAAAGAUUUAUCGGAGAUGGAUGAGCCCGCGUUGGAUUAGCUAGUUGGUGGGGUAAAGGCCUACCAAGGCGACGAUCCAUAGCUGGUCUGAGAGGAUGAUCAGCCACACUGGGACUGAGACACGGCCCAGACUCCUACGGGAGGCAGCAGGGGGGAAGAUUGGAAAAUGGGCGCAAGCCUGAUCCAGCCAUGCCGCGUGAGUGAUGAAGGCCCUAGGGUUGUAAAGCUCUCUCACCGGUGAAGAUAAUGACGGUAACCGGAGAAGAAGCCCCGGCUAACUUCGUGCCAGCAGCCGCCGUAAUAC